UGCGGGAUAGCUCAGAGGGAGAGCGCUGGUGUGUGUGUACAUACGGCCAGAGGUCGUCGGUUCAAUUCCGGCUCCCGCUACCG
rnacentral:tRNA from 1 species